GUGCUUGCUUCGGCAGCACAUAUACUAAAACUGGAAUGAUACAGAGAAGAUUAGCUUGGCCCCUGCAUAGCAUGACACGCAAAUUCAUGAGGCAUUCCAUAUUUUU